rnacentral:lncRNA from 1 species
UCCUUUCCUUAGCAGUUUUAGCUUUCUUUUUUGUUUCUCUCUGUUUUAGUUGGAGUUUGGGUUUCUUGUUUGUUUGGGGCUUUUGUUUUUAAUGAGUCCCUUGUUGACUGGGCUAAUAAGAACAUUCCAGAAGUGAGGAUAAGAUGGCUAAUUUCUUUCCACCUGCUUCUAAUCUAUAGAGAACAAACCAACCCAAGGCUUUACCCUCCCUGAGGGCUUCUCAGUUUCAGGGAAAACGAAACAUCCCCGUGACAACUUGGCUCCCCUGUCUGUCUCUCAGGAGCCUCGCAGUGCAGAUGUUGGGAGACACUGCUCAAAACAGUGGACAGGUGGGUCUGUGGGAGUGGGGGUAACAGGCUCUUAAAAGGUCUGCAAGCAAAGGCUUCGGGGAGACUGGGCAUCACUGUGCCAGGCUCUAUCAUGAAUGACAUCUAAUGACCUGCCCUUGGCCUUUUUUCUUCCUUCCUUCCUUCCUUCCUUACUUCCUUCCUUCCUUCCUUCUUUCCUCCCUCCCUCCCUCCCUCCCUCCCUUCCUCCUUUCCUCCCUUCCUUCCUUUGGUUUCUACUCUGCCUCAGCUUGACAUGAUAAAAUAGGGCGUAUGAAACUGAGCUCUGUGGACAGAAGACCGUCCCUGAACAGUCUGGGACUCGGGCAUGUCUGUUAACCACCAGGCUCUGCUAGUGAGCAUCCGAUCAGGAGAAUUCUGGAAUUCAGAAAUCUUUACCAGUUCUUGGUACUAACCUCAAACGUCCCUUGUGACUUGGGGCCUUUGGUUCUAGGGGUUCAAGUUUUCCCUCUGGGAAAUGCCCAAAACAGUCCCCGUUCCCUAGGGAGUGAGUACGGGGUAUGUCAAAGGAAGACAGAAGAGCCAAUAUUAUAAAUCACCCCUCAAGUGGCUGCCUAAACAGAGCCAGUCAGACCCCGGACAGCUCCCUUUCCCUGCCCUCCACACACACCCUGACAGCAUCCCACAGGCCUCCUGCCUCCCUGUGAGGCCUCAGGCGACUUCACAGCCCGUGAAUUUCCUUUGGCACUUUGAGGCUUCCUCCCACCCCCACCCCAGAGGAUGCAUGAGACCGCAGCAGGAAAUGAAGAACAUAUUUUUAAAUCAGAGGGGAAGCGAUGUCUUUGUGUCAGAUAAGUGGCCUGGAUCCAGGGCUGAGAGACUGUGGCACAUCUCUCCUUGCAGACAGCAGGUGCUCUUCGAGAUGUGGUUGUGGCAACAAAAUAAAUGAUGGAUAAUUGCUUUUG